rnacentral:tRNA from 1 species
GCGGCCGUGGCUGACUGGUUACGGCGUUCGCUUUGUAAGCGGAUAGUUCUGGGUUUGAUUCCCAUCUGCUUUC